rnacentral:misc_RNA from 1 species
UCCGGUUUGUCACCGGCGGUCUCCUUAGAGUUCCCACCAUUACGUGCUGGCAACUAAGGACAAGGGUUGCGCUCGUUGCGGGACUUAACCCAACAUCUCACGACACGAGCUGACGACAGCCAUGCAGCACCUGUGUUCGAGUUCCCGAAGGCACCAAUCCAUCUCUGGAAAGUUCUCGACAUGUCAAGGCCAGGUAAGGUGGGGAUGACGUUCGUCUGAC